GACAUGGCAGGACUUGCCGCACACUGUUUGGCGUGAGGAAAGCUCCAAUGGUGUCAACCAGCAACGUUCAGCUCUUCGGACCACAAGAAACGAACGAUGAGCGAGCACAGAGGUUGUCGCGCUACUUGUGUCGACAUGGACAUAGCAGCACUUGCUGCACACUGUUUGGAUCCUGUGAAGGAGAAGACCUUUUGCUGCCUGCCCAAGUCAUGGAUGCAGAUGUGAUGGGGCGACUCAGGCUUUGGACCCCUCCUUGCUUUUAGUUUCAGUCCAUACGUUUGGACUUCACUGGUUUCUGGGGAAAAGCGUGAUGCAUGAUUCCAGGAGAGGAGCAGUUUCCUUCUUUUUGUUGCAUGAUUUCAGAGCAGUACAUCAAAUUAAGCACAGACACAACAGCGAUUGAAUAGUUGGAAGUCAGCAACAUUUAAUGAUGCAACAACAACUGCUUUAAAUGACUUGAUAAAAGGAUAGGAUUUGAAGCCUUGGCACUUGAAUCCAUCUCGACAUGACCUCCAUUGUUAGUGCAGGAGGAAGAACCACCCUAGCCACCUCCUCUUCUAUUGUAAUAUAUUGUUCACGGAGGAUAUUGUUCUUC